AAGUCGUAACAAGGUUUCCGUAGGUGAACCUGCGGAAGGAUCAUUAAUGAAUAAACUUGGUUAGGUUGUUGCUGGCUCUUAGGAGCAUGUGCACGCCGACUCCAUCUUUAACCACCUGUGCACCUUGCGUAGAUCUGAUAUUCUCGAGGAAACUCGGUUUGAGAAUUGCUGUGCACCUGCCAGCUCUUCUUGUAAUCAGGUCUAUGUUACUAUAUACUCCACAUGAAUGUAAUCGAAUGCUUUAAUUGGCCUUUUGUGCCUUUAAAAACAAAUACAACUUUCAACAACGGAUCUCUUGGCUCUC
rnacentral:misc_RNA from 1 species